CCCUUAGAUGUUCUGGGCCGCACGCGCGCUACACUGAUGCAUUCAACAAGCCUAGCCUUGACCGAGAGGUCCGGGUAAUCUUUGAAACUGCAUCGUGAUGGGGCUAGAUUAUUGCAAUUAUUAAUCUUCAACGAGGAAUGCCUAGUAAGCGUGAUUCAUCAAAUCGCGUUGAUUACGUCCCUGCCCUUUGUACACACCGCCCGUCGCUCCUACCGAUUGAAUGUGUUGGUGAGGAGCUCGGAUUGGCAGCAGUUGGUGGUUCGCCACCGGCUAUUGCUGAGAAGUCCUCCAAACCGCCCCAUUUAGAGGAAGGAGAAGUCGUAAC
rnacentral:rRNA from 1 species